CCUACGGGGGGCAGCAGUGGGGGAUAUUGCACAAUGGGGGAAACCCUGAUGCAGCGACGCCGCGUGGGUGAAGAAGCGCCUCGGCGCGUAAAGCCCUGUCAGCAGGGAAGAAAAUGAGGGUACCUGAAGAAGAAGCCCCGGCUAACUACGUGCCAGCAGCCGCGGUAAUACGUAGGGGGCCAGCGUUAUCCGGAUUUACGGGGGGUAAAGGGGGCGCAGACGGGGAUGCAAGCUAGGAGUGAAAGCCCGGGGCCCAACCCCGGGACUGCUCUUGGAACUGCGUGGCUAGAGUGCAGGAGGGGCAGGCGGAAUGCCUGGUGUAGCGGUGAAAUGCGUAGAUAUCAGGAGGAACACCGGUGGCGAAGGCGGCCUGCUGGACUGCAACUGACGUUGAGGCACGAAAGCGUGGGGAGCAAACAGGAUUAGAUACCCCGGUAGUC
rnacentral:rRNA from 1 species